rnacentral:rRNA from 1 species
AUUGAACGCUGGCGGCGUGCCUAAUACAUGCAAGUCGAGCGAAGUUCUUCGGAACUUAGCGGCGAACGGGUGAGUAACACGUGGGCAACCUGCCCCCUAGAUUGGGAUAACUUCGGGAAACUGAAGCUAAUACCGGAUAAUCUUCUUUUUCGCAUGAGAGAGAAGUAAAAGGCUUCGGCCACUAGGGGAUGGGCCCGCGGCGCAUUAGCUAGUUGGUGGGGUAACGGCCUACCAAGGCGACGAUGCGUAGCCGAUCUGAGAGGGUGACCGGCCACACUGGGACUGAGACACGGCCCAGACUCCUACGGGAGGCAGCAGUAGGGAAUUUUCCGCAAUGGGCGAAAGCCUGACGGAGCAACGCCGCGUGAGAGAAGACGGUUUUCGGAUUGUAAAUCUCUGUUUUUGGGGAAGAAAAAAAUGACGGUACCCAAAGAGGAAGCCCCGGCUAACUACGUGCCAGCAGCCGCCGUAACAC